GUUUAUCAAAAACAUGUCUUUUAGAAUUUAAUUUAAAGUCUAGCCUGCCCACUGAAUNNNUUUAAAUGGCCGCAGUAUCCUAACUGUGCAAAGGUAGCAUAAUCAUUAGUCUUUUAAUUGAAGGCUGGAAUGAAUGGUUGGAUGAAAUAUUAACUGUUUCAUAAAAAUUUAUAUUAGAAUUUUAUUUUUUAGUUAAAAAGCUAAAAUUUUAUUAAAAGACGAGAAGACCCUAUAAAUCUUUAUAUUUUAUUGGGGUGAUAUUAAAAUUUAAUAAACUUUUAAUUUAUAAAUAACAUAAAUUAAUGAAUUAUUGAUCCAUAGAUUAUGAUUAAAAAAUUAAGUUACUUUAGGGAUAACAGCGUAAUUUUUUUAGAGAGUUCAUAUUGAUAAAAAAGAUUGCGACCUCGAUGU
rnacentral:rRNA from 1 species